CUCUAGCUCAGUCGGUAGAGCGCAAGGCUCUUAACCUUGUGGUCGCGGGUUCGAGCCCCGC
rnacentral:ncRNA from 16 species